rnacentral:rRNA from 1 species
GUGCCAGCCGCCGCGGUAAUACCGGCAGCCCGAGUGAUGGCCGAUCUUAUUGGGCCUAAAGCGUCCGUAGCUGGGUCUGAAAGUCCAUCGGGAAAUCCACUCGCUCAACGAGUGGCCGUCCGGUGGAAACUCCACACCUUGGGACCGGAAGGCUCGAAGGGUACGGCCGGGGUAGGAGUGAAAUCCUGUAAUCCCGUCCGGACCACCGAUGGCGAAAGCACUUCGAGAAAACGGAUCCGACAGUGAGGGACGAAAGCUAAGAUCGCGAACCGGAUUAGAAACCCGAGUAGUCC